AUACGGGGGGGGCAAGCGUUGUUCGGAAUUACUGGGCGUAAAGGGCGCGUAGGCGGACCAGACAGUCUCUCGUGAAAUCCCACGGCUCAACCGUGGAACUGCGGGAGAUACUACUGGUCUUGAGUUCGGGAGAGGAGUGUGGAAUUCCCAGUGUAGCGGUGAAAUGCGUAGAUAUCUGAGAGAACACCGGUGGCGAAGGCGGCUCUCUGGCCCGAUACUGACGCUGAGGCGCGAAAGCUAGGGGAGCGAACGGGAUUAGAAACCCCGGUAGUCC
rnacentral:rRNA from 1 species